GGCGAAUAUCAGCUAAGUCCUCAUGUUUCUCAAGAGCUCCUCAAAUUUCCAAAUCAAGAUCUUUUGACCAAACAAAUCCAAUAAUUCCUUGGUAUUGUCAAUUACUUGACAGACUUUAUACCUCAUGUCUCUAAACAUGCCAGCCUAUUUUCCAAAAUGCUCAAAAAACAAGCACAUGCCUGGAGUUUGAACAAACAACAGCUGUCAAAAAAUUGAAAGAAA
rnacentral:misc_RNA from 1 species